rnacentral:rRNA from 1 species
AUAUCAAUAAGCGGAGGAAAAGAAACUAACAAGGAUUCCCCUAGUAACUGCGAGUGAAGCGGGAAAAGCUCAAAUUUAAAAUCUGGCGGUCCUUGGCCGUCCGAGUUGUAAUUUAGAGAAGCGUCUUCCGCGCCGGACCGUGCACAAGUCUCCUGGAAUGGAGCGUCGUAGAGGGUGAGAAUCCCGUCUUUGGCACGGACACCCGGUGCUUCUGUGAUGCGCUCUCGAAGAGUCGAGUUGUUUGGGAAUGCAGCUCAAAAUGGGUGGUGAACUCCAUCUAAAGCUAAAUAUUGGCGAGAGACCGAUAGCGAACAAGUACCGUGAGGGAAAGAUGAAAAGCACUUUGGAAAGAGAGUGAAACAGUACGUGAAAUUGUUGAAAGGGAAACGCUUGAAGUCAGUCGCGUUGACCGAGACUCAGCCUUGCCUCGGCUUGGUGUACUUCUCGGCUCGACGGGUCAGCGUCGAUUUUGCCCCUCGGAUAAUGGCAAGGGAAAGGUGGCACCUUUGCGGGUGUGUUAUAGUCUCCUGUCGCAUGUGAGGGGUGAGAUCGAGGAACUCAGCGCGCGCCUCUGGUGUCGGGGCUUUGGCCCACGUAACGCGCUUAGGACGCUGGCGUAAUGGCUUUAAACGA